UACGAAGGGUGCAAGCGUUAGUCGGAAUUACUGGGCGUAAAGCGUGCGUAGGCGGUUUCCUAAGUCGGAUGUGAAAGCCCUGGGCUCAACCUGGGAAUGGCACUAGAUACUGGGAAGCUGGAGUGCGGUAGAGGAGGGUGGAAUUCCCGGUGUAGCGGUGAAAUGCGUAGAGAUCGGGAGGAACAUCAGUGGCGAAGGCGACCCUCUGGACCAGCACUGACGCUGAGGCACGAAAGCGUGGGGAGCAAACAGG
rnacentral:rRNA from 1 species